UGGAUCCAUCACACCCAAGUGAAGGCGGCUGACAGGGGAGACAGCCCCGGAGUGGCAGCCCCCGGAGGGGGAAAGUGAAACUAACCCAGGACCCACAGCGGUAGGGACAGCCGCCCUAGUGACAGAACAUCAAAAUUAC